rnacentral:rRNA from 1 species
AGAGUUUGAUCCUGGCUCAGGAUGAACGUUGGCGGCGUGCCUUACCAAUGCGAGUCGAACGGUACGGGGAGGCUCUUCGGAGCGCCCACGACCGUGGCGUCCGGGUGCGUAACACGUAGCUAACCUACCGGUCGGUGGGGGAAAACUCCGGGAAACCGGAGGUAAUCCCGCAUAUGGUCGCCUGGUAGACAGGUGGACGAAAGCUGUGGCAGGGGAAUCUGUCAUGGCGCCGGCUGAGGGGACUGCGGCCGAUUAGCUAGUUGGUGGGGUAAUGGCUCACCAAGGCAGUGAUCGGUAGCGGGUCUGAGAGGAUGAUCCGCCACACGGGGACUGAGAUAUGGUCCCGAGCCCUACGGGGUUCAGCAUGGAGGAAUCUUGCGCAAUGGGCGAAAGCCUGACGCAGCGACGCCGCGUGGGGGAUGAAGGCCUUCGGGUUGUAAACCCCUUUUCUGGGGGACGCAAAUGACGGUACCCCAGGAAUAAGCCACGGCUAACAGGGUGCCAGCAGCCGCGGUAAUACCUUGGUGGCAAACGUUAUCCGGAAUCACUGGGCGUAAAGCGCUCGUAGGCGGCUGGGUAGGUGUUCGGUGAAAGCCCCCGGCUCACCCGGGGAGGGUCGAGCAACCGCCAGGCUGAGGCAGGCAGAGGACCGUGAACGUCGGGG